UACGGAGGGUGCAAGCGUUGUCCGGAAUCAUUGGGCGUAAAGCGCGUGUAGGCGGUUCGGUAAGUCGGCUGUGAAAGUCCAGGGCUCAACCCUGGGAUGCCGGUCGAUACUGCCGGACUAGAGUUCGGAAGAGGCGAGUGGAAUUCCCGGUGUAGCGGUGAAAUGCGCAGAUAUCGGGAGGAACACCAAUGGCGAAGGCAGCUCGCUGGGACGUUACUGACGCUGAGACGCGAAAGCGUGGGGAGCAAACA
rnacentral:rRNA from 1 species